rnacentral:lncRNA from 1 species
ACACAUUUCUUAGUUUUUAGGUGGCCCCCGCUGGCUAACUUGCUGUGGAGUUUUCAAGGGCAUAGAAUCGUCCUUUACACAAUUAAAAGAAGAUGCUGUUUAAUCUGAGGAUCCUGUUAAACAAUGCAGCUUUUAGAAAUGGUCACAACUUCAUGGUUCGAAAUUUUCGGUGUGGACAACCACUACAAAAUAAAGUGCAGCUGAAGGGCCGUGACCUUCUCACUCUAAAAAACUUUACCGGAGAAGAAAUUAAAUAUAUGCUAUGGCUAUCAGCAGAUCUGAAAUUUAGGAUAAAACAGAAAGGAGAGUAUUUGCCUUUAUUGCAAGGGAAGUCCUUAGGCAUGAUUUUUGAGGACAUCCUUGUUUUCUUACCACACAAGAUAUUCAUUUGGGUGUGAAUGAAAGUCUCACGGACACGGCCCGUGUAUUGUCUAGCAUGGCAGAUGCAGUAUUGGCUCGAGUGUAUAAACAAUCAGAUUUGGACACCCUGGCUAAAGAAGCAUCCAUCCCAAUUAUCAAUGGGCUGUCAGAUUUGUACCAUCCUAUCCAGAUCCUGGCUGAUUACCUCACGCUCCAGGAACACUAUAGCUCUCUGAAAGGUCUUACCCUCAGCUGGAUCGGGGAUGG